AAAACGACUCUCGGCAACGGAUAUCUCGGCUCUCGCAUCGAUGAAGAACGUAGCGAAAUGCGAUACUUGGUGUGAAUUGCAGAAUCCCGUGAACCAUCGAGUCUUUGAACGCAAGUUGCGCCCGAAGCCUUUAGGCCGAGGGCACGCCUGCCUGGGCGUCGCA
rnacentral:rRNA from 2 species